rnacentral:rRNA from 1 species
UAGGGAAUCUUCCGCAAUGGGCGAAAGCCUGACGGAGCAACGCCGCGUGAGUGAUGAAGGUCUUCGGAUCGUAAAACUCUGUUAUUAGGGAAGAAUAAAUGUGUAAGUAACUAUGCACGUCUUGACGGUACCUAAUCAGAAAGCCACGGCUAACUACGUGCCAGCAGCCGCGGUAAUACGUAGGUGGCAAGCGUUAUCCGGAAUUAUUGGGCGUAAAGCGCGCGUAGGCGGUUUUUUAAGUCUGAUGUGAAAGCCCACGGCUCAACCGUGGAGGGUCAUUGGAAACUGGAAAACUUGAGUGCAGAAGAGGAAAGUGGAAUUCCAUGUGUAGCGGUGAAAUGCGCAGAGAUAUGGAGGAACACCAGUGGCGAAGGCGACUUUCUGGUCUGUAACUGACGCUGAGGUUCGAAAGCGUGGGUAGCAAACAGG